AAGUCGUAACAAGGUUUCCGUAGGUGAACCUGCGGAAGGAUCAUUAAUCCAACGUUAAACAACCCUGUGACCCUUGAACGUGCUCUCGCACACGCUCUAGCAGCAAUCCCUGGUAAAUCAUUGUUGACCAGCUAUUGAGUCAGGGACCUCUGCUUUUAAACGAUGCGAUACGAGCGCCAGAGUAAGUGCGGCUAGCAAUCUGUCAGUGGUUGCGCAAGGAUGGCGCAGUAAACGAUCGCUGUAGGCCCACACGGCCGGCGACCGGGCCUCUGUGCUUCGGCACCCCAUCGUACCCGGUGCGCUGUAACAAUCGCACCACAAACUCGAACAACUGUUAACAAUGGAUAUCUUGGUUCUC
rnacentral:misc_RNA from 1 species